CAGAUUGCCACCAGCACCAGAAACACCACCACGGCGAUGACACCUUGUGACCAAGGCUGGAGGCUGCCCCUGGCUGCAGGGAACGAAGGAGAAGAGGGAUUAGAGAUUCAUGCAUGUGCUUUGUCCACUUGGUUUGGAUGCUCCAGCACAGUGUCACCAGCAUCCAGAAGGGAGCUGAGUUCAGAGCCACGUCACGACCACUGCCACCAGGCACCAAUGGCACCACUUCAGCCCAGUUCCAGAGACUUCCAUGGCUGAACACAGCGUCCAGACAAAUUUCUGCUCUCAACUGCAAAUAACCUUUCCCAGAGGCAAUAAAGGUGGACUGUGCAACCUGCAUUUGCAAACCAGUCCCCCACAGUCACGCUGCCUGUGCUGCUGGCAGCUGUCUCACCCUUCCUUUUGCCUGUGCGGACACUUUGCUGUGCUCACUGCAAAGUCUUUGGGUGGACACUCAGCCAGGAGGAAUCCAGGCGGAAAUUCCCUCUUGUAUCCACAUGGCUCAACUGCAGCCCCUCAGGUCAGCACUGAGUGGUGCCACACAGCUGGCAGCAGGCAGAGGGAGCAGGGCUUGGUCCCCACCAGCACUACCCAAUGGGCAGGAGAUGCUCCUGCCCCACGGUGCAGCCCCAGAGAUGAAUAUUCCCCCUGCUCUGGGGCCCUGACAGCUUUGUUUCCUCCCUUGCUCAGUCCUUGGCUGUUAUCUCUGCCAGAUUUAUUUAUUAUUUGUGUUUUAUUUUCCUGCCUGGGCCGUGGCUUCCAGCCCGCAGUGAGGUUUGUGAUGGGGCUGUGGGAGUUCAGGGUCAGCUCGAGAAUGGAUUGCCGUCAAAACAGCAGGAAGCACUUCUGUGCUGUGCGGGUGAUGGGGCACCAGAACACGUUUCUCCUUGGAGAUCUUCUAAAGCUGCCUGGAGCUGGGCCUGGGCACCCUGUCAUAGGUGUUCCUGCUGGGGCUGAGCAGGCAACCUCCAGAGAUCCCUUCCCACCUCAACUAAUCUAUGGCAUUCAGCAGUGACCAAAACCUCCAAGUUCUCUUCUUUUGCUGUUCCAAGAAGGAAAGUGAGAAGACAAAUGGCAGGAGACCUCCAGCCAGCUGUUCCCAUAUAAUUUCGGAGCACCCAGAGCUAAAGGGGUAAGCAGCACACCAGAAUGGGGCAGUUCUGGCUUUGAGCAGCCUCACAGAGCCUGGCUGCCAGGGGAUGUGAGAACACAGUGCAUAAAUAUGAGCAGAAAACCACAGCGGAGUCAAAGUGCUCAGCAAGACAGGAACUGCUCAGCCAACUAACCAGCGCGGGAUGCAGACUCUGCACUCCCUGGCAGACACACACCCAUCCAUCUGCAGCUACAAACAAGACCAGGGUGAACGCCAGUGCCAAAAUAAGCCUUUGCAUGUGCUCUAACUCUGUUUCCCUGCUCCAAGGCUGGUCUGAAGGCGCAUCCAGGACUUCUGAGCCGUUUUCCCUGAGUGCUUGGAAGGCAUCAGCUGUCCCCUGAGCUUUCAUACAAUUACAGUGUUGGAAAAGACCUCCGAGAUCACCAACCCCAACCCAACCCCACCAUGCCCACUGCCCACAUCCCUCAGUGCCACACCUCCAUGGUUCCUAACACCUCCAGGGUCGGUGACCCCACCGCCUCCCCGAGCAGCUGUGCCAGCGCUUUGUUAUGGCCGAGGAAGCUGUGCCAGCUCUGAAACUUCACUAAAGGCUUUUCUUUCAAGGCAGCAGCAAAACAUCCAAUCCUGCUGACGGUGGAGACCCCACAGUGCUCAAUCUUUCACGAGUUGGUAAACAAAUAGAGGAAGAGCGGUCAAGGCCGGGGCAUCAGGAGGAGAAAGGGGGGAGGGAAUGUUCCAGCUCUUUGGCAGGAUCUGAUUUGUUUUAAUUACUCCUGAUUAUUUGUGGUGUCAGACAAGCCCUGAGUUCCAUAAAAAUAAUGUCAGAGCAAUAGGAAGUUUCUCUAUUAAGUCUCCAGGAAGGGAAUGAAAGCGUGAUUUGCAGAGGGAAAUAUUUGGCCCUGCCACCUCCACAGAGAUCAGAACGGCAGAUUAACAAAACCUGCCACUUUGGGAGCGAGAAGCAGAGCAGUGCUUUCCAGGGGGAAGGAAAGCAAGCAGCGUGUAAGAAAGCACAUUGCCCAUCUCUGGGCGCUGGGGAUCAGUUGGAGCCGCUGCAUCACGGCGUGACCCGGCGUCAAGCUAAACAGGUAAAGACUGUUCUAUAGGCAGCCAGACCGAGCUCAUGUAGGAAGGCAGAGCUGCAGGGGGAGCUGAGGCAUUUUUCCCAUUCCCGAGCAGCUCUCCUGUUCCCAAAACCACCCCUACCCCUCCGUGUGCCUCAGUUUCCCCAGCAAUGGAGCUCUUACCUUCCUGGCAGCUCGCGGGCUCCAAAGCCAGGAGGAGCCCGAGGGCGAGGAGCCGCAGGGCCGGCAUGGUGCGGGGUUACGGUGCGGGGCGGUAGGGCUGCGGGUGGCGGUGCGGGGCCGGGAAGAGCCGCGCCGCGUUCGGAUCCCUCCGGCAGGAAUGAGCCGGGUAAAUUAUCAAACUCGUUAACGAGGGUGGCUGAUGCUCACACCUGGGUAUUCAAAUCCGACUCCGGGAAGGGGAGGAGGGGUGUGGAGGAGGUGUCUCUUUCUUCCGCCCUAGAGAGAGGGAUUAAGGGGAAUUUGGGGCAAGGUGACUUGAACCUGGCUGUUCCCUUAGGGCUUGGAAGGGAGCCGAGACGCACAGACAGCGACUGUAAGGGUGCGGGAGGAAGAACUAACGCCCUCAUCGGCAAAUCCCUGCUGUGGCCUUUGGGGAAUGCGGCCGAGCAGAGAGUUGAAAUGUCAGCCCUGAGAGCUCCCCGUCAGCCCCACUGUCCCACAGUGCAGGGGUUGGGGCUCCCCGAGGAACCCCUUCCCACCCCCAUGCCCCAUCCCAGCAAGGGAGUCCUGGGGAGCACCCACAGAGCACAGCCCACACUCACAGCACAGCUCAGCAGGGAAACGGAGCGCCAGGUACAGGAGAGGAAUGCUGCUGUCCUUUGCACCAAGUGUCAUUAACAAGCUGGGAAAACACAUUUGUGGCUUAGAAACAUCCCUUUAUUAAACCGGCCUCGCUGCUGAUUGCUGCCUCCUCUAUCACAGGCGUUGCUAGAUAGAGGCUAUUAAACAUCAUAAACUGAGCGUUGGUUUUAUUGAGCCUUCAGGGCUGAUCCUGAAGUUUUUCUGAUACCACAAGAGAUAGAAACACAUAACAGCGCUGCUGACAUCCUGCUCUUCAUUUGUUUUCUUUCCCCAGACCUCAAGCAGUGCCAUUUAUAUUUGGAGAUGGGUUGGAGGAGCACAAGCCCAGCCCCCAGCUUUCCCACAGGUUCCUUUGCACACUCAUCUCCCCACGCCUCAGUCCCCCAUGCAGCACAAGGUGGGCUCAGCCUCAGCCCCACCAGCUUUGCUCAUGCAGGGAAAGGGCUCUCCAAGGAGGGGACUCUCUCCACGCACCUGGGAAGGAUCUGCCCACAGUGUGUCCCUGUAAAAGCAAUGCUGUUACAAACCAAAGGGGAUGAGCUGGCUUAGGAAGAAAUAGUAAUGAGAGUGACCUUUGGUUUCCCAGUGACUUAUUUGCAUGUUAUCCAUUCCAAAGAAGCAUGCAGGGCUUGUGCUCUUGGCUACUUGUUCCUUAGUACAACCCCACCAGGAAAAAGAAAGCCUGCCUUCAGCAGAAAGCUUCACCAACGCCCAGUCCUGGGGCUGCCUUUAGAAAGUGCAGCACCUGUGGCAUCUGCCACCUAUUGCUGCCCACCCUGCGUCCGCAUCACGCUCAGCCCCGCCAUACUCGGGGACUUCUUCCCAUCUUCUCUGCUCAGCUCAGCCCCAGGGACAGCAGGGCUGAUUUGCAAAGAAAGAAGAAACUUAAGGCAGGGUUCUUCUGCCCUUGGCCAUGAGGGCAGGCACUCAUUCCUUUGCUUAUCUCAAAGCUCUUCUCUGCUCCGAGGCAUCUGCUGAGCCCAUGGCAGCUAUUAGGGAGGUAUGCACAACUGUGGCCAAAGGGCCCACUGGCACCUGCUCGGCUGCACUCACUCAGCCAGGCCUGGGGGUCGGAUGAGGAACCGCAAUGGCAAUGGGUUUACUGCAGGGACAAGAUCAGAAAGUCCAACAAAUAAUUCACCACCACUUCGCCCUUUUGUGAUUCUGGCAGUGGGAGCACGCGAAGCAGAGACAAGAAGCUGCAAGUUCCCAUGGCAGCACUUUGGAAGUGUUGUCAUCCGCCACGCUUAUGCUCUCAGCAGCACAGGGAUGUGGCAGAGCAAACCCUUUUGGAGCCAUUUUACUGAAGGGGGAAACUGAGGCAGAGAAGGGCAAUUCCCUCUGCAGCACUGAGCCCCAACCCGGCUCUCUCCAAGGGACUCUUAGGAGCUGUUUCCCAUAGAACAGGACUUGGACAAAUCCAGGUCUUGGCAUUUCAGGAUUAUGUUGAUAUCCUCCAAAAAAUUGACAUUUCUUCCUCUAUUUUUUUUUCUAUUUUUCUUUUGUUAUUUUUAGCCAACAUUAACAUUGGCUCAGAGCGCAUUCCUGAGCCUAAAAUGUGUUCCUGGGUGAUACGGCUCAGAGCAGAUGCCAGUUCCUCUUUGAGAAACGUUGUGGGCUUCAGUGUUUGUAUGGAGGUUGUUUUUCUUUUUUCCUUCAUUUCCUUCCUCCCUCCCUCCCAUCCUCCUCUCCUCUUUCAUCCACCCCAUCUCCCUCCCCCACGUCACCAGAAAGAGCCACGAAAAUAAAUAAAUGAAUAGAUAAAGCAGACAGAAGCCAACCUGAACAGUGCAAAAAGAAAAGAUUUUUUCUUUUCUUCCAUUAAAAACGUGGGUUUUCACCCAGACUCCCCAGCAGGGUCGAGUCGGGGCUGGCAGGACGUUCACCUCCUGCAAUGGGUGAGCUAUUUCCUUGGCCGGUUAUUCAGUGGCAGAGUCACUUGGCAGAAGGGUUGUGCAAGGUCUGGGAAGCAGGGAGAAGGACAAGGGACAUCCAGAGCCACCACCCCCAGAGGAACUUCAUGAAACAGUGCCCAAUUGGACUGGGUAACAACCAAUGCUCAGAGGCAGCUGGCACCCACGUGCCAUCGUGCAGUAGAGCACGGCUGUCCCAACCCCCCGUGUUCCAUGGGGCCUUCAUCCCACCUUGUAUUUUGUUACAUGGCUGAAAGAGGUCCCACAAGGGCUGGUAGGUGGUCCCUAAAAUCAAUGCUGUGUCUGAGACCCUUCGUCCACCCAAGGACUGGGCUACUCUCUUCAUUUUCCUCUGAGAGAACAAAAUCAUUGGGUUGGAAGGGAUCUCAAAGACCACCUAACCCAUCCCUCUACCAUGAGCAGGGACAUCUGCCACUGGACCUCAAAGCCCCAUCCAACUCAGCUUUGAACAGUUCCAUUGAUGGAACAACCACAGCUUCCCAAAGCAAGCUGUUCCAUUCCCUCACUACCCCCAUCAUGAAAAAAUCUCCUUACGUCCAAUGUAAAUCUACCCUCAUUCGUUUUUAAACCUCUGCUGCUGCUUCUUUGCCCACCAGGUGAAGGAGCCUGGUGGAGCCAUUGGCUUCGGGGCUCCAACUCUGUGUUCAUGUCAGCCUGGCCCCUUGCCUCCGCUCUUCCCUAAUACCGCUGGAAGAUGCUCAGACAGCAAGGAGGGAGCUGACUCGUGCUCGGAUAUUCCCUCCUGCCCAGAGAUAUCAAGUGGAAUGAAUAAUUCACUAUCUGAUCAUCUCUAAUCUUCAUCCCACAAAAUCAGCAGCAAGCUGGGAGUGUUUUGAAGCCUCCAGCUGCAUUUGCUGAUAAGACGCAAGGCUGGAGAGAUUGGAAGCCCAUAAAAAUGAUAAUCUCGGGCUUCGGCGUAACUUGGUGGAAGGGGUUUCUCCUGUCCUUUCAUUAAGGAUGGAUUUCAUGAUCUUCCUUAAAUAACAACGUGCCUUCUUACGAGGAAUCCCCGGUCUGAAAACCGAUUGCAUCGCCAUUAGGAAGCAGGAGACCAAUAAGGCAGAGAAAAGCAGCAGGACCGUGGGUUGCGGCAGGUCCGUACAGAGCAAAAGGCAUCUGCCUCUGUAGGCUGCGAGGAAGGUAAGUAAGUGAUGAGAGGCAAUUCCUGAGCGCAGAGGAAAGCUCUGGCCUUCAGGUCUCCCAGGGCAUUUCCAGUCUCUUUAAAUGUUUUCCCAGUUGCACUGUUUUGUUAGUAGGAGAGAAGGGCAUUAGCACUGUGCCGUGCUGCUGACCACCACACCAGCUAUGAACCCAACAACUGAGCAAAGCUCCGCCACGUCCUACACCUCCUCGGCAUGAUGGGAAACACCACAUCUUAUUUCAGUCAGGUUUGGCACAGCAUCCUCCCCUCCAUGCCCAGAUUCCCUGAGUCCGGCUAUAGCCCGGGAGAAGAACAGAAAGGAACAAAGCCAGCUCAUCAGCCAUUCCCAUGUCAAUCACCACCACCAUGACCAGGAGGAAGAGAAAGGAAGAGCUGGCUGCUCGAUUAGGUUACUUUGCCUACUACUUGAUGGUGGUCCAUACUAAGUUGUGGUGUGUGGAGGGCAGCAUCCUUCAGAAGGAGAAACACCAACAGUGCCUUUGGGGAAGACUGAGCGGAGAAGAGGUGGAGAUCUGGAUGGUGAUCACCGUGGGAUGGGAUGGCUGGGGACGCUGGGGCAGGUGGCAAGAGACCUGGCCAUUGCAGAUGGACACGGCUCUCUCUGUUCAUGGCAGGGGAAUUGGGCCAGGUGACCUUUGAGGGUUCCUCCCAACUCAAACGAUUCCUAAAGAGGACAGCAGAGCAUUUCCCUGAUGGAAGGAAUCCUCCUGGGCUUGGACAGCUCUGGAUUUGCUGCCAGCAGGCUGGAACCUGAGCAGUGUUACCAAAGGGCUCAGCAUCACAGCAAACCUCUGCCAGCAGCCACCAUCCCUCUGUUUGACUCCUGACCAACUGAAACCAAAAAGGCACUAAAAUGUGCUACAAAGAAACACUUCACCCAAGGCAGCUUGGGGCUUUUCAUCCGUCCCAGCCCCCGUUGAGUCUCCCCAAGGGGGACUUCCAGCUUUCUUCUCCCAGCACCAGGUGUAUCUUUCCCUGGAUGCUCUCAUGCUGGCUCGGAGCCCUCCUUGCUGGCCACGUUUUGUGUUUGCAUGGAAAUCUGCAGCGCGUGGGAGCGCCGAGGAGGAGACAUGGGAAGAUGCUGCGAUAAGAGGCUUGGCAGUGGGGCCAUGGCUCUCCCCACCCUCCGCACAUCACUGCGGGAUUUCAGUGGGUUAUUAACCCAGGAGCUGGUGUGCAGAAUGGGCCAGACUGGCAAAAUCGUCAGGGGACUCCGGGAUCAUUCAAUAAAGACACAAAGGGUUCAAAGGGCUUUUCGGCAACUGGAGAGCGACAAACAGAGCUGAUCGUCCGAGCUGAUUACAUAGGUUCCCAACUGCCCCAGGAGUCCUAGGAGACCACGCCGAAGCUGGGAAGAUUUAUGAGGAGCUACCUGAAUUAGGGAGAGAAGGCAUUCAUUUUGCUCCUGGCUUCGGAAAGGGCAUCGCUGCUUUUUAUUGCACACCAGAGAAAGGGGGCUGGAGGGAUGUGCAGCGAGACAGAGGGAGAGAUAGGCGGGCAGAUAGAGGGAUGGAUGGACGUCUCCCAGGCCAGCUGAUCAUUGUGCUGCCCCAGUUACCCCGGGGAAGGCGAAGCACCCUUGAAACACGGGGUCCGAGUUGCCAGAGCCCUGCCGGCUGCCUCCAGCCCUAUUUAUUCCCUUCACCAUCAGCGUGCUGUCAGGUGGUCUCUCUUUUCUCCCUCCCAACACCGCAGAUCCUGCCUGGCAUCUGAAGGGAAAAAUAACGGGGCCGUCGGCACCGAGAGAAACACUCCUAAUAACCUCCACUUCUUUUCAAGGAGUUCCAGUUGUUGCUCGACAAGUGUUCUCCAGCCCCGGCGAGUGCCAGACAAAAGCUCCCCUCUCCUCCUCUGUGUCGGCUCAACAGCCGCAUUAUUUCCGCAGCCCGCAUCUGCCGGGUGGCAGCCGCGAUUUCCAUAACACAGGGCAGGGUUUGGCCUGGCUGCUUCGCCUCUGGGUUCUGCAGCAUUUGGCUGGCUGCAAAAUUAAAAAGGAAAGAAAUAACAAUAAUAAUAAUAAUAAAAUAAAGUCGCUGUGCUGGCUGUGACCCGAACAAACAGGUGCAGAUAAUGGGGGAAGUCACAGCACCUUCUGCCUCCAGUGCAGCCCUAUGUGGGGCUGAAGUAUGAAAGCCAUCGCAGGAGCACAGUGUGACCGGGGAUUUUCUGCCCCUGGGAGCCUCCAUAUCACCAGGGGCACAGGAGAAGGUGGGUGAACAAAAUACCUUUCAGUGCCGUUCUAUGAUUUGCCAAAACAUUCCCCGCAGUAGGAGAUGGACCAAAAUCCCCAUCACUUCUGAAGGUGAUGUCCAUAACCAGUUGGCUCCAUCUGACACCAACGGACGGCAGCGUGCUAUGGGCAGGUGUGCGUAUGGGGACCGAGGAGGUUGUACCAUUGGCCAACUGUUACAGCUACCAAGAAGGGAGAAAUAAAAAGAAAACCAACCAGAAUUCUGGGGAAUGAGGAA